CAGGUUUACCUCAUAAAAUAGUACAUGGAUAAGGUCUAUGCAGUGUUUCCAUGCAGGGUCGAUAUCAAGAGAUUUCGGAGGAAUAAUUUUUGUUAUUUGGAGAUGCUGGUGAACGUCUGUCCUGGCACUCCA